CCUACGGGCGGCAGCAGUGGGGAAUAUUGGACAAUGGGCGAAAGCCUGAUCCAGCCAUGCCGCGUGUGUGAAGAAGGCCUUCGGGUUGUAAAGCACUUUCAGUGGGGAAGAAAGCCUUGGGGCUAAUACCCUCGAGGAAGGACAUCACCCACAGAAGAAGCACCGGCUAACUCCGUGCCAGCAGCCGCGGUAAUACGGAGGGUGCGAGCGUUAAUCGGAAUUACUGGGCGUAAAGCGCGCGUAGGUGGUCUGAUAAGCCGGUUGUGAAAGCCCCGGGCUCAACCUGGGAACGGCAUCCGGAACUGUCAGGCUAGAGUGCAGGAGAGGAAGGUAGAAUUCCCGGUGUAGCGGUGAAAUGCGUAGAGAUCGGGAGGAAUACCAGUGGCGAAGGCGGCCUUCUGGACUGACACUGACGCUGAGGUGCGAAAGCGUGGGUAGCAAACAGGAUUAGAUACCCGAGUAGUC
rnacentral:rRNA from 1 species